GGAUGGGGAGGGGUGAGGCCUGUGGCCGUGCGGCUGGAAGGAGCGAGGAGGCUCGGGGAAUCCUCGCUCCGGGUCCGGAACGUCCCGCGAGGCUGAGACUCGGAGGAGGAAAUGCAUUGAGACCCAUCCUGAUCACAUCUGCUGCCUGACCUGCAACCACUCCACGCCUCCAAGCACUCCAACUAGGGUAUGAAUGCACUGCCAGCAGGACAGGAGUGCACCCCAGCUCACAUCGGCCCAUUUGGAGACAUAUGGUUUUGUGCUGAUCACAUCCCUGCUGCGGGGGCCAUGCGCUGGCCAAGUCCUGCAGCCCCCCAGGAGCUGGGAGCCAUCCUGUAGGGGAGAGGGUCUCACUGAGCCUUGCCCACAGCCCCCUGUACCUGGGAAGCUGUGUGGUCCUGCCUGCAGCCCAUGUGCCCGAGCCCCUGUGGCCUCGUGCUGCGCCCUGCUUUCCCUGCGUGGGAGUCUCACUCGCGGGAGGAGCUGCUGGCGGCUGCUUGCCCAAGUCCCACAGCCCCCCACCCUGGGUCACUCCCAUUAGGUAAAGGAGCAGCUCGUCUUGGCGGGGGUAUCUCCCUCUUGUGCUUUCCUUGUAUUGUACGGGCCUGGGUCAUCGAGGAAAUCUUACAGGUCCUUCUGCUGCCGAGUGGUCACUGGGGAAGCCCGGCCCCCUUCCCCCCAUUGUCAGCAGCCGGGCUGUAUCCUCACUCCGAGCCCCGGCCCCUAAAAAUAGCUCUUUGUCAGGCGAUUGUUCCGACACCUUCACGGCGGCAUUGACGUGGGCUGGAGCAGGACAGAGAUGGGGUAGGUGGAGGGGAAGGGCUGGAGGUCUCCCCUGGGACCACUCUGAGUAUUUGCCACUGAUAACAGCUCCUGUUGGGGGAAAUGGGCUCCAGGCACGUGGCUCUGUGCCGAAGGCCUCUCUGCAUGCUGCUGCCUGCCCAUCACCUCUCCCCCACCUGUCCCUGCUUCAUGUUCAUCCUGGGUGCGCAGGUGACCCUGCUGCAUGUGGGAUCAGAGCCCACCCAGGGCUCCAGCUUGGAUCCUGCAGCAAGGUGCUGGACCUGGUGUGGGGUCCAGCCUGACACCUCCAGACCAUUACCCCAAGGAAUGCCAUGUGUCCAUUGCAAUGUGGUCACUGCAGGCAGGAGUCUGCCCUGCUGGGGAGUGGGGUGGGAUGGAAAGAUCCCACUACGUUUUGGCCAAGCUAACCCAACCCUGCAGGGCUGUCACUGUUGGGUAGGACGAAGUGUGCCCCGUGGUGCUGCCAGGAGCUUCUGGCCCUGCAGCCUAGAGCUGGGGUGUCACACUGCUUGGUGGGGUCCCUCGCACCGCAGGUGGACCCCUCUCUGCUUGUCCCCCUUUGUCCCCUGCUACCUCUCUCCCUGUCAGCUGGAGGUGGCCGUGCCCCCAGGGACCUCUCCUGCCCAACCACCCCAGCUGCAGUAGUGUUUUAUUUCCCAUGAGUUUGAGCAGGUCUGGAUUAAAAUAAACUGCUGGCCCAGA